GAUUUCAACUGAAAAAGUCAUCAACAAUAAAAUAUUAUAACUCAUCAAGAUCUAAAAAUUUUAUUUUUAUCAUUUCUUCAUCUGACAAAGUGUUAGUAAUAUUAUUCACAAAUUUUAUAUAUAUGUAUUAUAGUUUAUAAAACCAGAUAAGAGAUACGUCAAUUUUGUGAACAAUGUUACUAUCACUUUGUCGGAUGAAGAAAUGAUCAAAAUAAAAGUUUUAUAUCUUGAUGAGUUAUUCAACUUUAUUCAACUUUAUUGUUGAUAACUUUUUCAGUUGAAAUC
rnacentral:pre_miRNA from 1 species